rnacentral:miRNA from 1 species
CAGUGCAAUGUCAAAAGGGC